rnacentral:rRNA from 1 species
UAACCUGGUUGAUCCUGCCAGUAGUCAUAUGCUUGUCUCAAAGAUUAAGCCAUGCAUGUCUAAGUAUAAGCUUUUAUACGGUGAAACUGCGAAUGGCUCAUUAAAACAGUUAUAGUUUAUUUGAUGGUCACUCACUACUUGGAUAACCGUGGUAAUUCUAGAGCUAAUACAUGCGUCAAGACCCGACUUUUUGGAAGGGUUGUAUUUAUUAGAUAAAGAACCAAUCCAUGCUUGCAUGGUUUUGUGGUGAUUCAUAAUAACUGAUCGAAUCACAUGCCUUCGGGCGGCGAUGCAUCAUUCAAGUUUCUGACCUAUCAGCUUCCGACGGUAGGGUAUUGGCCUACCGUGGCAAUGACGGGUAACGGAGAAUUAGGGUUCGAUUCCGGAGAGGGAGCCUGAGAAACGGCUACCACAUCUACGGAAGGCAGCAGGAGCGAAAAUUGCCCAAUCCCGACACGGGGAGGCAGUGACGAGAAAUAACAACUCUUGGUUAUUCUAAGAAGUGUAAUGAGGAUAAUUUAAAACCCUUACCGAAAGCAAUUGGAGGGCAAGUCUGGUGCCAGCAGCCGCGGUAAUUCCAGCUCCAAUAGCGUAUAUUAAAGUUGUUGCAGUUAAAAAGCUCGUAGUUGAAGUUCUGGCUGCUCGACCCUCGAGCUCUGUAGCCGGGGGCUCGGCAGUCAUCCGCUUGCAAACAUAUGUUCGCCUUUAACCGGGCGGCUAUGUGAGCAAGCAUUUUACCUUGAGAAAAACAGAGUGUUCCAGGCAGGUUUGUCCGGAAUGCAUUAGCAUGGAAUAAUAGAAUAUGACUGAAGUCGAUUUAUUGGUUUGAGGCUUUAGUAAUGAUUAAUAGGAACAGUCGGGGGCAUUGGUACUUGUCAGUCAGAGGUGAAAUUCUAGGAUUUGACAAAGACUAACAAAUGCGAAAGCAUUUGCCAAGGAUGUUUUCAUUAAUCAAGAACGAAAGUUAGGGGAUCAAAGACGAUCAGAUACCGUCCUAGUCUUAACUAUAAACUAUACCGACUCGGAUUCAGAUGAAUCAUAAAGUUCAUUUGGGACCGUAGGAGAAAUCAAAGUUUUUGGGUUCUGGGGGAAGUAUGGUCGCAAGGCUGAAACUUAAAGGAAUUGACGGUUUUGCACCACCAUGGAGUGGAGUCUGCGGCUUAAUUUGACUCAACACUGGGAAACUCAUCAGGGCAAGAAGAUUGUAGGAUUGACAGAUUGAGAGUUCUUUCUUGAUUGGUCUAGUGGUGGUGCAUGGCCGUUCUUAGUUGGUGGAGUGAUUUGUCUGGUUAAUUCCGUUAACGAACGAGACCUUAACCUGCUAACUAGUAUAUCGAUGACAAAUCGAUAUUACUUCUUAGAGGGACUAUGUGAUGUAAUCACAUGGAAGUUUGAGGCAAUAACAGGUCUGUGAUGCCCUUAGAUGUCCUGAGCUGCACGCGUACUACAAUGGUGCUUUCAACGAGCUUUUCCUGAUCCGAAAGGAUUUGGGUAAUCUUUUUAGUGAGCACCGUGUUUGGGAUAGAUCUUUGUAAUUAUGGAUCUUGAACUAGGAAUUCCUAGUAAGCGCGCGUCAUCAGCGCGUGCUGAUUACGUCCCUGCAAAAUGUACACACCGCCCGUCGCUAUUACCGAUUGAGUGUAAAGGUGAACCUUCUCGAUAGACGCAAGUUUAAAAAUUAAGUAAACCUUUGCACUUAGAGGAAAUAAAAGUCGUAACAAGGUUUCCGUAGGUGAACCUGCAGAAGGAUCA